rnacentral:rRNA from 1 species
UACGUAGGGUGCGAGCGUUGUCCGGAAUUAUUGGGCGUAAAGAGCUCGUAGGCGGUGUGUCACGUCGGCCGUGAAAACCUGCAGCUUAACUGUGGGCGUGCGGUCGAUACGGGCAUCACUGGAGUUCGGCAGGGGAGACUGGAAUCCCUGGUGUAGUGGUGAAAUGCGUAGAGAUCAGGGGGAACACCCGUGGCGAAGGCGGCCGGCUGGGCCGACCCUGACGCUGAGGCGCGAAGGCGUGGGGAGCGAACGGG